GACCAGUAACCUCUACUGCAACAGUGACCUCUUCUGGACCGAGGGGAGUGAGCGAGUAAAGCCAAGCCGCAAGACAGUCAUUACGGAACCACCUGCUCUGUGACUCCCCCGGCUCACCCUCCCCACACACUACCUUCAAGCC
rnacentral:lncRNA from 1 species